GGAAACGAUCGUUAAUACCGCAUAAUAUAAUUGAACCGCAUGAUUUGAUUAUCAAAGAUUUAUCGCUGAAAGAUGAGCUCGCGUCUGAUUAGCUAGUUGGUAAGGUAACGGCUUACCAAGGCGACGAUCAGUAGCCGGACUGAGAGGUUGAUCGGCCACAUUGGGACUGAGACACGGCCCAGACUCCUACGGGAGGCAGCAGUGGGGAAUAUUGCACAAUGGAGGAAACUCUGAUGCAGCGAUGCCGCGUGAGGGAAGAAGGUUUUAGGAUUGUAAACCUCUGUCUUCAGGGACGAAAAAAGACGGUACCUGAGGAGGAAGCUCCGGCUAACUACGUGCCAGCAGCCGCGGUAAUACGUAGGGAGCGAGCGCUGUCCGGAAUUACUGGGUGUAAAGGGAGCGUAGGCGGGAUCGCAAGUCAGAUGUGAAAACUAUGGGCUUAACCCAUAAACUGCAUUUGAAACUGUGGUUCUUGAGUGAAG
rnacentral:rRNA from 1 species